rnacentral:tRNA from 3 species
GGGCGCAUAGCUCAGUUGGCAGAGCAGCUGACUCUUAAUCAGCGGGUCCAAGGUUCGAAUCCUUGUGCGCCCACCA